GCAAUGCAAAACGUUCUAUCGCUGCUUUGCUUUCGGGCGGGCGGAGGAAAGUCCGGGCAACACAGAGCAUCCUGCUUCCUAACGGGAAGGCACCGUACCAGCCGGUGACAGCAAGUGCCACAGAAAAUAUACCGCCCCAACUUGUUGGGGUAAGGGUGAAAACGUGAGGUAAGAGCUCACGGCAUUACCGGGCGACCGGGAUGGCGGUAAACCUCAGGAGUUGAAAAACCAAAUAGGUCCUGAAUUUAAAGCUGCUCGCUUUUAUAUGUUAUUGAGUAACAUGGUCAGGAUGGGUAGGUUGUUAGAGCCUGGCAGCAAUGUUCAGGAACAGAUUAAUGAUAGAAAGUGCCCACCAGGGCAACACAGAACCCGGCUUACAGCUUUGCUGCUGGU
rnacentral:RNase_P_RNA from 1 species